GAUGAAGAACGUAGCGAAAUGCGAUAAGUAAUGUGAAUUGCAGAAUUCAGUGAAUCAUCGAAUCUUUGAACGCACAUUGCGCCCGCCAGUAUUCUGGCGGGCAUGCCUGUUCGAGCGUCAUUUCAACCAUCAAGCCCUGCUUGCGUUGGGGUCCUGCGGCUGCCCGCAGGCCCUGAAAACCAGUGGCGGGCUCGCUAGUCACACCGAGCGCAGUAAUACAUCUCGCUUUGGGCGUGCGGCGGGUUCUUGCCGUUAAACACCCCCUUUUUACCAAGGUUGACCUCGGAUCAGGAAGGAAUACCCGCUGAACUUAAGCAUAUCAAUAAGCGGAGGA
rnacentral:misc_RNA from 1 species